UACCCCGCGGGGGAUUAAGCAUAUCAAUAAGCGGAGGAAAAGAAACCAACAGGGAUUGCCCUAGUAACGCGCGCAGUGAAGCGGCAACAGCUCAAAUUUGAAAUCUGGCCUCCUUUGGGGGUCCGAGUUGUAAUUUGCAGAGGGUGCUUUGGCAUUGGCGGCGGUCUAAGUUCCUUGGAACAGGACAUCGCAGAGGGUGAGAAUCCCGUACGUGGGCGCCUGCCUUUGCCGUGUAAAGCCCCUUCGACGAGUCGAGUUGUUUGGGAAUGCAGCUCUAAAUGGGAGGUAAAUUUCUUCUAAAGCUAAAUACCGGCCAGAGACCGAUAGCGCACAAGUAGAGUGAUCGAAAGAUGAAAAGUACUUUGGAAAGAGAGUCAAAUAGCACGUGAAAUUGUUGAAAGGGAAGCGCUUGCAGCCAGACUUGCCCGCAGUUGCUCACCUAGGCUUUUGCCUGGGGCACUCUUCUGCGGGCAGGCCAGCAUCAGUUUGGGCGGUUGGAUAAAGGCCUCUGUCACGUAUCUCCCUUCGGGGUGACCUUAUAGGGGAGGCGCAAUGCAACCAGCCCGGACUGAGGUCCGCGCAUCUGCUAGGAUGCUGGCGUAAUGGCUGUAAGCGGCCCGUCUUGAAACACGGACCAAGGAGUCUAACAUCUAUGCGAGUGUUUGGGUGUCAAGCCCGGGCGCGCAAUGAAAGUGAACGGAGGUGGGAACCGCAAGGUGCACCAUCGACCGAUCCUGAAGUCUUCGGAUGGAUUUGAGUAAGAGCAUAGCUGUUGGGACCCGAAAGAUGGUGAACUAUGCUUGAAUAGGGUGAAGCCAGAGGAAACUCUGGUGGAGGCUCGCAGCGGUUCUGACGUGCAAAUCGAUCUGUCAAAUUUGGGCAUAGGGGCGAAAGACUAAUCGAAACCAUCUAGUAGCUGGUCUGCGAGUCUCCCUCCUCAGGAAAAAAA
rnacentral:rRNA from 1 species